rnacentral:rRNA from 1 species
ACGCUCGACACCUACGGAGGCAGCAGUGGGGAAUAUUGCACAAUGGGGGAAACCCUGAUGCAGCGACGCCGCGUGAGUGAAGAAGUAUUUCGGUAUGUAAAGCUCUAUCAGCAGGGAAGAAGAUGACGGUACCUGAGUAAGAAGCCCCGGCUAACUACGUGCCGGCAGCUGCGGUAAUCUGAGCGGGCUGGCAAGGC